UACGGAGGGGGCUAGCGUUGUUCGGAAUUACUGGGCGUAAAGCGCGCGUAGGCGGACCUGCAAGUCGGGGGUGAAAGCCCGAGGCUCAACCUCGGAACUGCCUUCGAUACUGCGGGUCUCGAGUCCGGGAGAGGUGAGUGGAAUUCCUAGUGUAGAGGUGAAAUUCGUAGAUAUUAGGAAGAACACCAGUGGCGAAAGGCGGCUCACUGGCCCGGUACUGACGCUGAGGCGCGAAAGCGUGGGGAGCAAACAGGAUUGAGAA
rnacentral:rRNA from 1 species